CUGCUGAUGCUAUUUCUCUAGCAUGAGACAUGGGUAGAGUUCAGGGAAAGGAAGCUACCAUACAAGUGGAGAGCCUGCAACACCCGGAGCAGCAGAUGAUAAGGGACAGUUUAUAGAGGGCAGGGGAGACUGUCCCUCCUCCAGCGUUUCCUCACACUUCCUGAACCCACUCCCAAGCUACCCUUUGUGCACAGAAUCUUCUCAUGCUGUUUUGCAAACCUCUUACCAAUAAUUUCUGCUAUCUGGCAGAAUUACUAAAUGGAUUUCUGAAUGAUGUAGUUUCUGUUUCUCCAACAAUUUGUGAUAUGGAGAGAGAGCAAAUCCAUAGCCUGUAGUUCAGGUCUAUGAAAAAAGGGUAUUCAACACAUGUAAGGUACUACAUGCCCAUGUACUAUACCAUCCGAGUGUAUUUUUCCUUGCAAGGCACAGAAAUAUGGUACUGAUAUUCCUGUUUUACUCUUUGGAAGCAAAGGCAAUGGGUGUCUCAGCAACAUCCCCAGAAUCACAGCAGUAUGGCAGAACGGGAAAAAAAGGGGUCACCCAAGUCUUAGACUAAAUAUCUUUACCACUGGAACACCAUCCUGUUGCUUUAUGGGCUCAAACCCGUGUUCAUAAUCUUAGAAGACACAGAAAAUAAUUUAGAAAUAAAUACCAGCAGAAAUGGUUUAAAGGUUCAUAAAGAAUUUCCUAGUUAGUUGCAGUUACACAUAAAUGGGACCUCUGUGCUCUGAAGACCAGCAGUUUACGAAAGUAUUUCAGAAAAAAAUGUGCUAUGCAAAUUGUUUCCAAAAUCACCACCUCCAUUUUUUUGCUACCUAGGCUUUACUAUGGAAAUAAAUAAAGAUAUUUAUGGAGAUAAAUAAAUAAAUGUAGCAGGAGAUCAGAUAUUAAGAAAGCCUUAGCCUGUGAAACAGUCACAGUAGGACACCUGUAGGUAAUAUUGAGGAUUGCUCUUACCUGCAGAAAACAGUGUAAAAGUUUCUCUGUUCAUAGUUUCCAUCUUGUCUGUGAAAUGACCAGGGUCAAACUGUCAAAGACUCUCCCACUGCUCUUGAUUAUACAGGGCAGAAAAUAUGUUGAGGAAAAUUAAGGUGCCCCACUGAAAGACAAAAUGAACAUACAAAGAUCUUCUUCACAGAGCCAAAAACCAAUGGCUUGACUUAGACCGCAAAGAUAUCAAUUGCUCGCUUGAAAUUGCCCAAUGCAAGUGCCAACUAAUUAUUCUGGAGUGAAAAAUAGGGUCGCACUGUGCUAUCUCCUACAGAACGGCUUAUUUAGAAAUUAUUAUAUUAUUCUUAAAGAGUUAUUUUAGAACACCAGAGGAUGCAGUAAUUACAGUAAUCAGAGACUUGGGGGGGAAAAACCCAAACACCACUGAACUGCAGGCUCAACACUGAUCGAGACCCCUGAUUCUGAUCUUGAUUUUGUCAAAGACAUGUUCCCCUAAAGCCACAUAGGUAUUAUCCAUUGGGAAGCCAACCUGCAUGAGGUUGGGUAUGGAUUUAAAGUACUCUGCUGGUACAAUAAAUGCAUAUACAGACACUGUUAUUCUAGAAUUUCUGGGGGGUUUAUAUAUAGCUUGUACCAUUUAAAAGAAGCCUAGGGUCAUUAUACUGGUACCUUUAUACUGAUCUAACACUUGAAAUACUGUAUAUUAAAAUGAUAAAAGUAAACUGUAAACUGUAUGGAAAAAUGGUAAAGCUGUGCAAAAGGAGAGGUGUACAGGUUUAUUCAUAUUGUAGGAUGUAGAUACUGUCCAGCAUCCUAUUCACAAUGAAGACUUCCUCAAAAGUUGCUCAAACUCACCUUUGGAUAGUUUUGCAACCAGGAACAAAAUAUGAGAGAUCUCUUGCUUGGCUUUGCUCUGUCUAAGGAUUGUCCCCAAACUUUUGUGGUGUUAAGAUACCUUAGUGGCAUUAAUAUCUCCUUAGUAAUACGGAAGUCUUGCAGUGUGUUAUCCUGGGUACUCAUAAACCUUCUGCUGCUAUAACACAUAAUCUCAUUUAGAACUGCACUUACAUAUAGCAAGAUCACUUGGUUCUUAUGUUUAGUUCCACAGGAUGGACCAAUCACAGCAUCCAACUCUUCUUAGACUUGUUCUGCAGAACAAAAGGACUAAUAAUGAGUAUUUAAGAAGAUGCACCAUUAUGGAGAGCUCAGCAUAAGGUGAUGGUGGUGUCUGAGCCCACUAUGAAGAGAAACAUGAUCUCUGAGAUCUGUGCUGUAGAGGAGUGCAUACUGAGUUGAUGAAGCUGGUAAGACAGCAGCCAUGUAGCUCUGUUAAAAAAUAAUCUUGCUGACUGAGGAAGACAGCGUACAUGCGCAUCAGCUCUGAUGAUUACUGACACUUGCAACACCUUCCCAAAACAAGCAGAACUCUGGGGAAAUUUUUGUCUUAGAGCAACCUGCAAAAUCGUAACACCACAGGACUCCUCUGUCUCAACCUUUCUACAUCUGCAGGAUAUGAUUUUCAAGCAGUUGUUUAACUGGUUCUCCUGGAAACAGCUACAUAGAACCAAAGGCAUUUGCAUGAGGUUGGGAGAUGGUACCCAAAUUAAGCAUGUCAUUCACAGUUCUUCUGAAUCAUGUUCUUUACAUGCUCCUCAUAGAGAAAUGAUUGCUGUAAGUGCAGCAAAACCACUAAUCAAUAUUUUCCAGGCUGUACUGCAUUGGAUUGUACCAAUGUCUCUUUUCAGGGUGAUAACAGAAAGCAGCAGCCUACAGCCAGUGAAAGUAUACAAUGGAAGUGGUAAUCCUGGCAGCUUUAGUAGUAAGAGAGGUAAUCCUGUGUAAUACCAUUUCCUCUCUGCAACUCUAAUCACAAGAAAACAGAAGUGACGCUUUCUAAAGCAGAAAAGAGAUUAUGUCCUUUUAACUGCCUUUUUUGUAACCUUGCACUAUUACUGCAAUCAAUAAUUUCAAGAAAGCUUAGUCCUUAAUUCUUAUAUCUUGUAUAGUGAUAUGGUAAUCUCUGCAUGCUCUGCUGCACAUUAACACGCUACAUACAACAAACCCCUCUGAAGGAAUAUUGAGUGCUAAUGUAUGAUAGCACAGGUUGUUCCCAGGUUCCCAGCACUGAUGGGUUGACACUGAACAACACUGAAACGGGGAGGAAAAUUCUCAAGUCUUACCUGGCACUUGACAAAACCUCUGAAAAUUUGCUGAAAUUUAGUGGGGCCUCUGGGACUUCCACACUUGGUCUGCUGGCAUCCCACAGGGCUUAUAUUUGACAUUGCCUGGUAUGGAUUUGUCUCUUCAGGAGCACCUCUCCUGUGUCAUCUGAGAGCAUGCCAGUUGCCAAAGAAGCUCAGAGUUAAAAGAGAAAUGAUAAAUUCUGAUAAUUGCAAUGUUAGAAAUUAUAAAAACAACA